rnacentral:lncRNA from 1 species
CCUCCAUUGGUUGUCUUGUCAACUCUGCACUUUGCCCUCCCUCUCAGAGCAGUGCCCUAGGCUCGAUUGGGACCAAGCCCUCAAGCUCAAUGAUGGAGGCCGAUGAAUGCCCAGUGCCAUGAUCGUAGGGGCAUCAUGCUCGUUGAUUGCCACUGAUGCCACCUUAGUGACGUGGUUCUCCUCCUUCCACUAGCCACUGCACCCAUCUCAGUGCUCUGCCCUCCCUCUCGAAGUAGCCACUAGCCACUGCACUCAACUCCGUGCUCUUGCCUUUCUUGAGC